UUUUUUUUUUUUUUUUUUUUUUUUCCUUUU
rnacentral:ribozyme from 13 species